GACGAACGCUGGCGGCGUGCUUAACACAUGCAAGUCGAACGAUGAAGCCGGAGCUUGCUCCGGUGGAUUAGUGGCGAACGGGUGAGUAACACGUGAGCAAUCUGCCCUUGACUCUGGGAUAACUGCGGGAAACUGUAGCUAAUACCGGAUACGACACCUUGGGGCAUCCCAGCGUGUGGAAAGAAUGUCGGUCAAGGAUGAGCUCGCGGCCUAUCAGCUAGUUGGUGAGGUAAUGGGUCACCAAGGCGACGACGGGUAGCCGGCCUGAGAGGGUGAGCGGACACACUGGAAAUGAGACGCGGGCCAGACUCCUACGGGAGGCAGCAGUGGGGCAUAUUGCACAAGGGGCGAAAGGCGGAUGCAGCAACGCCGCGUGAGGGAUGAAGGCCUUCGGGUUGUAAACCUCUUUUAGCAGGGAAGAAGCGAAAGUGACGGUACCUGCAGAAAAAGCACCGGCUAACUACGUGCCAGCCGCCGCAGUAA
rnacentral:rRNA from 1 species